CAAUAAUAUGAACAAUAAUAUGAACAAUAAUAUGAACAAUAAUAUGAACAAUAAUAUGAACAAUACAGGUAAUAGUGUUAGUAGUAGUAAUAUUUGUAAUGAUGUUGGUCAAUCGGGUGGAGUUGGAAUUGGAAAUGGUAACAACAAUAAAGGAGGUAAUAAACAAGAAAUGUAUAACAAUCGUGAAGAUAGUAAUAAUAAUAUGACCCGUUCAGGUAGUAUAAAUUAUUAUAAUGGUAAGAAUGUAGGUGGUAGUGGUAAAAAUUACGACAACAAUAUAUCCAAUAUACACAAUAAUAAGGAAGAGUAUUCUGGUGUUAAUAAUAAUGGUGACAUAAAAGACCAUACCAACGAUUUUAAUGAUAAUAAUUACUUAAGUAAUAAGAGUAAUAGUGGUGGUGGUAGUAGUAGUGGUCACAGUUCAUUAAUAAAAGGGAAGAGUUAUGACAUGAAUGGUGGAGUAAAUGGUACUACAACAACUACAACUACCAGUAGUAAUAGCACUAGUGUUUGUAUUAGUGCUGAGACUAGCGAUAAUAAUAUGGGAGGUAACAAUAUUAGCAGUACUAAUGUGAAAAAUAAUAAAAAAAAUAGUAAUAAUAAUAAUAAUAAUUUGAACAAUAAUAAUAAUAAUAAUAAUAAUAAUAAUAAUAAUAAUAAUAAUUUGAACAAUAAUAAUUAUAAUAGUGGAUAUCCGGUGGAUAUGAUUAUGAGCCAUGAUAAAAGACAGUUAGGAUAUGGCAAGAAUGAAAAGAACAAAGGUAAUAAUAAUAGUACAGGUGUUAAUAAUUUAAACAGUAGUAGUACUACUACUACUACUACUACUACCUCUACAAGUAGUAAUAAUAAUGUAAAUAAUAAAGACGAUUAUAAAAACAUUAGGGGUUAUCGAAACAAAAAUAAUAUUGUUGAUAACAAAAUAGAUGGAAUGUUAUUGAAUAGUAACAAUAAUAAAAAAGAGUAUUCUAAGGAUAAAUUAAGUGGUGGUGUAAAUGAUAUACAUCAUCAUCAUCAUCAUACAAGUCAGUCAAGCCAUACGAUUCAUAAUAACAGUAUAAGUAAUCAUAGUAAUAACAAAAGUGGUAAUAACAACAUGAACAAUCAUGUAGGGAGUGUAAGUAUUGAUUGUAGUAAGCAACAACAAGGAAAUUACGGAAACAAUAAAUAUCAAAAUGACAAGCGUAUGAACAGUAUUCGAAAUGUAGAUAUGAAGAAGGUAAAACAUGAAGAAGAGAAUAAAAAGUAUAAAGAUAAGAACAAUAUGUACAACAAUACUGUUGCUUCUGUUCCUGUUUCUACUGGUACAGGUACAACCACAACAACAACUACAGGUACAACUACUGCUGCUACUACCAGUACUAACGCGAACAGUAACAAUGUCGUAAACAACAUACAUGGGACAAUACAAAAUAAUAAUGAGCACGUUAAUACUAGAAAUACAACUACAAAUGAUAAUAGUGGUAGUGGUGGCAAUAGUGGUAGUGGUGGUAAUAGUGGU
ensembl:lncRNA